GUCUCCGUAUUUUAGUCGGCAGAAAACCCGACUAUAAUGUGGUAGAACUCUGGUUCGAGCCCCGAUGAAGGCA